GCAUGUGUAUUUUUACCUUACCUAAAUCCAACCUAUAAGGUUUAUUCUUCAGUUAAUGCCAAUGUUCUUGUUUCUCAGCAUGAUGGCUUAUCUGAUGUUACGUUGUAUUUUCUUUUUCAACUACAGUAUGCAACAGAUUUACCACAUCUUGUGUCAAGUUACUCCAGAGAUCCUUUAAAUCUGAAGUUAAAAUCACAUCUUUUCAACAUAGAUUUGGGACUUGAAUUGCUGAAAUGAAAGCAAAAGAGCCUUGUGAACAUGAAUGGGAUCCUUCCUAGGUUGCUGCUACCAAAGAAUCCCUCCCUGCCUAAAUCUGCUUCAUUUAUGAAAUCUCAGACUAAACAGCAGGGUGCUGAUGAGAAAACAAUGUGGUAGAGACUCCACAGUCUUAUCCGUGUUAACGUAACAGCCCUCUGGUUCUAUGAAAUCUGUACAUCUGCAAAUGUUAUGGAGGAUGCUUGCGGUCCUGAGCUGUGUCUGUAUUACCCUGUUAGGACAGAUGGGAGAAAGGAGGCACAGAGCAGAUCAAUGAAUUGUCCCAAAAGCAAGCAGGAAGAGUGUGGUUCAGUCAAAUUCUCACAGGGGUGAAAAUGCACUGUAAAUCUCGCUGACAGCUUUGUCAGUCAUUUGGGCACACAGUCAGCUGCAGCGUGGACACCUCUUAGCCCAGUAUGUGAGAAAGGACCAGUAUCCAUUUACUAAAAUGGUCUCUGAUCUAAAAUCUAUUCUUGUCAAUUA
rnacentral:lncRNA from 1 species